AACGCUGACCACACGUGUUGCUAACACGUAAGCCCCAGU
rnacentral:tRNA from 1 species